CCGGGACCCUAGUUCUGCUCUGGGUUUCUGUGGAUAUCACAGCCCCCUCUGAGGCAGCCUAAGAGAGAGGGCGUAAGGAGUGCUCCAUUUGCUCCUGCUGUCACUCUUCCACAAGUCUCAGCACCUGUGGACUCCUGGGCUGCUUUUUCAUGUGGAUACCUGGAUGCUCUUGCAGUGUCACAGCCCAAGGGCAGGGGCGGGGAGCACCAGGGCAGAUGUGAGGACUCCCCUGUGUCUGGCACAAGCUAGAAAAGAUGCCUUAAUAGCAUCCACGGGUCACCUUGAGCCCACUGUCACACAGAAUCACCUAGGAAAGACGCCCGCCCAUGGAACUCACUCCCACAUGGAGCAGAGCAUCUCCCACCCAGGUACUUGCCACUGGAGUCUGUUCACUGCAAAGCCCUUCCGGCUGCUGCUGUGCAAAGCUAGCCAACGAGGUCUCUUCUAGAAGCCAAACAGGAGAGCUGUGUCAAGAUGACCAUACAGACCUGCAGCUUCCAUCGCCAGCCAUGAUGGCUGCCCUGCCUGGAUUCCCACAGAGGACCAUGUCAUCUAUGACCCAUGAGAAACGCACGUUGCUCUGGCUCAACCCCAUGAAUAGCCACUUGCCUCUUCCCAGGAACCGCAGGCAUUGGAAUCGAUGUCACGGAAGGCAGCCAGCACACUGCUGCUUUCACGAGUUUGGGGCUGGUUUGGGUUGUCAGAGACCCAAGCAGGAGUGGGCACUGCAUGGCCCCAGGCCCUCUGGCCUCACAGGCAGCUGGAACAUAUCUGGCCUCAUAUACAUAACGUCAUGGGAGGAAAGGGAAAGUCGGCAUUGCAGGGUGCACCUUGCCCUUCCCAUUGCUCCCUGUGGAGAGCAGGAAGCCCCUUGCCCUUGGAGCUGUACUGACCACAGCUGCACAGCCAGCCAUGCCCUGGCUGCUGGGAGGAGGGCAGGUAGGACCCUGAGCCAAUCACCAGGAGCCUGGACACAGGCAAGGCAUCCUUUGGUCUUCCAGAAGCUUCUUCCCAGUCACCUUGACAUCUGCAUUGCAGAUUCCUGGUUCAGCACUUGAGAGGCCUGGGAGGGCUGGGUACCCAGGG
rnacentral:lncRNA from 1 species